rfam:Vigna angularis cultivar Jingnong 6 scaffold189_11, whole genome shotgun sequence.
GAGUUAUGAUGAUUUUUACAUUGGUCCGUGUUUCUGAAUCACCAUGACCGACGAACACUACCAAUUUCUGAUCUC